rnacentral:rRNA from 1 species
AGAGUUUGAUCCUGGCUCAGAUUGAACGCUGGCGGCGUGCCUAACACAUGCAAGUCGAGCGGUAACAGGUGUAGCAAUACAUGCUGACGAGCGGCGAACGGGUGAGUAAUGCUUUGGAAUCUUCCCAGUAGUGGGGAAUAACCAGUCGAAAGAUUGGCUAAUACCGCAUACGUCUGUAAAGGGAAAGCGGGGGCUCGUAAGACCUCGCGCUAUUGGAUGAGCCAAAGUCGGAUUAGCUAGUUGGUGGGGUAAUGGCCUACCAAGGCGACGAUCCGUAGCUGGUCUGAGAGGACGACCAGCCACACCGGAACUGAGACACGGUCCGGACUCCUACGGGAGGCAGCAGUGGGGAAUAUUGGACAAUGGGGGAAACCCUGAUCCAGCGACGCCGCGUGUGUGAAGAAGGCCUGCGGGUUGUAAAGCACUUUUAGUGGGGACA